rnacentral:rRNA from 1 species
UACGGGGGGAGCAAGCGUUGUUCGGAUUUACUGGGCGUAAAGGGCGCGUAGGCGGCGCAACAAGUCACUUGUGAAAUCUCCGGGCUUAACCCGGAGCGGCCAAGUGAUACUGUCGUGCUAGAGUGCGGAAGGGGCUACUGGAAUUCUCGGUGUAGCGGUGAAAUGCGUAGAUAUCGAGAGGAACACCUGCGGCGAAGGCGGCUCGCUGGGCCAUUCCUGACGCUGAGACGCGAAAGCUAGGGGAGCGAACAGG